GCUCCGGCGACGGCUUCACUAGCAGCUCCGGCGGCCACUCCAGUGGCGCGGUGGCUUCAACGGCGGCUCCAGCAGGCGACGGCCACAGUCGGGGUUUGGGAUUCAGUUUUGUCUAGAUUGCUAGAAGAUGGAAGGAAAGGGAAAGGGACUAGUAAAUCCAAAGAAAAGAGGAAGAGAUUUGAAAAAGUAUUUUGAAGUGCUUGGUAGUGGCAGCAACUCACAAACAAAUCCAAGCACCCGCGAAAGUGUCAAUAUUUCAGCAAAUGUCAAUCAUCAAGAUCAAGUGACUUCCAUGGAAGAAGAGCAUGAAAAUUUGAUGCCAACCGAACAAGUAGAAGAACAAACUGCAGAUUCGGUCGAAGCUAUAGUAGAAGAGAAUGUUGAAGUUCACGGGGUUGAAGGUAUAACUAUUUUUAGUGAAGAUUACAUAAAUGGUGAUCCAGGCCUUCGCAUUCCACUUGAUAGUUUUGCCCCCAACAUUAGAGAUGAUGUUAGAUUUGCUUAUAUCCGAAUGGGUGACCAACUAGUUGCACUUUCCCCCCAAAUAGAGAUGGAAGAUGCUUCCGGCCACAAUGAUAUAAGGAUUUUGAGUGGUUGGAAUAUAGUGUGGAUAAGCGUAAGGCAUAUUGCUUCUAUUGUUAUCUUUUUAAGCAUGUCCGAAUGGAUGAUAAAUUUGGGCAUGAUGUUUUCUCCAAAUUGGGUUUUGACUGUUGGAAAAAUGCGGUUGUAGCAUUCCGUAAACAUGUUGGUGGGCCAUGUAGCAUCCACAAUAUUUCAAAAACAGCAUGUGAUGAUUUUAAAAAUCAAAGGGCAAGUGUGAAAAGUAAAGUUACA